GGUGGCUCAGUAGUAGAGUGCUUGCCUUGUAUGCAUGAGGACCUGGGUUCGAUUCCUCAGCACCA
rnacentral:tRNA from 1 species